UCCCCGUUACCGAGGCAGUCUGAAUAGAUAAUCCAACUAUUCAUGAGGGUUGCGCUCGUUGAAGGACUUAACCUGACAUCUCACGACACGAGCUGACGACGGCCAUGCAUCACCUGUCACCAGUCCAACUAAAUGAAGCUCUAAUUUCUUAGGGCGGCGACUGGGAUGUCAAACCUUGGUAAGGUUCUUCGCGUAGCCUCGAAUUAAACCACACGCUCCACCGCUUGUGCGGGUCCCCGUCAAUUCCUUUGAGUUUUAGCCUUGCGGCCGUACUCCCCAGGCGGGAUACUUAACGCGUUAGCUUCGCUACCGAAAGGGUCGAUACUUCCGACAGCCAGUAUCCAUCGUUUACGGCGUGGACUAC
rnacentral:misc_RNA from 1 species